rnacentral:rRNA from 1 species
UGGAAGUAAAAGUCGUAACAAGGUCUCCGUUGGUGAACCAGCGGAGGGAUCAUUACGAAAAGGAGUUCUCGGACUCUUUAAACCCUUUGUGAACCUUACCUAUCGUCAGUUGCUUCGGCGGGAGGCCCCUGGGAGGGGCCCCGGGGCCCGGCCUGAGCCGGGCUCCCGCCGGAGGAGCGCAAACCAAACUCUUGCUGUACCUCAGUGGAACAUCCGAGUUAAAAAUAAAAAACAAGUUAAAACUUUCAACAACGGAUCUCUUGGUUCUGGCAUCGAUGAAGAACGCAGCGAAAUGCGAUAAGUAAUGUGAAUUGCAGAAUUCAGUGAAUCAUCGAAUCUUUGAACGCACAUUGCGCCCGCCAGUAUUCUGGCGGGCAUGCCUGUUCGAGCGUCAUUUCAACCACUCAGGCCCUGGUGCCUGGCGUCGGGGCAUUUCUGUAACAAGAAAUCCCCUAGAAUCAGUGGCGGACCCGCCGCGGCUCCGAGCGUAGUAGUAAAAUAUCUCGCUAUGGAGGUCCGUGGGGGGCUAACCGGCCGUAAAACCUCUUCUUUACUGAAGAACUUCUCAAGGUUGACCUCGGAUCAGGUAGGAAUACCCGCUGAACUUAAGCAUAUCAAUAAGCGGAGGAAA